rnacentral:rRNA from 1 species
GAUGAACGCUAGCGGCAGGCUUAAUACAUGCAAGUCGAGGGGCAACAGGGGUAGCAAUACCUGCUGGCGACCGGCAAACGGGUGCGGAACACGUACAGAACCUUCCUUUAAGCGGGGGAUAGCCCGAAGAAAUUCGGAUUAAUACCCCAUAGUAAUACUUAGUGGCAUCAUUAGAUAUUUAAAGAUUUAUCACUUAGAGAUGGCUGUGCGGCUGAUUAGGUAGUUGGUGUAGGAAGGCUCACCAAGCCUGCGAUCAUUGACUGGUGUGAGAGCACGACCAGUCACACGGGCACUGAGACACGGGCCCGACUCCUACGGGAGGCAGCAGUAAGGAAUAGUGGUCAAUGGACGCAAGUCUG